AAUAAUUGAAAUAACACAGAACCUGCAACAAAAGAACAAUAAACUUCCACAAUUAACCACCUGAGCAAGUGCACAGCCGUCGGAACAACAAUGUCACAGGACCUAGUACCUAAAAUUUUGUGAAAAUGAAAAUAAAACCCAUCCUAAAAUGAAAACAGUACUUGAAUUUGGCACAAUGGUGGCCUUCCUGAUAGAGCAGAAGAAAUAAUAAUGCUUAAAUAAAGUUAAACAGGAGACUAUUAUUUCACAUUAUUGGCCAGAUCGCUAAUACUCUCAUGCAACAUUUUCGCAAACAUUUCCACAAAUAUCUUCAAAAAUAAUUUCUAAACAGGUAUUGAAGCUUUGAACAAAGUUUCAGGACGUGGCAGCAAGUCAAUCACACACAAUCACAUCCACCUGAAAAACAUCGAAGAAUUUAAGUAACAAAGGCAACAUUCAUUCAUCAUAUUCGUAAUGUGUAUCAUAAAAAUUAAAACCUAAUCAGUCACACAAAAGAUCAUAUCAAUUCGAAAACUAUCUGUGGAACUGCACAUAAUUAAACUCGAUUAACAUUACACCUGAAGAUUGAAUAAAACAAAAGGCUAUGGAUUAGCUAUUAUAAGCUAGGAAAUAGAAAUCCAUAGAGGAAAUAUCGAGAAAAACAUGCGUG
rnacentral:misc_RNA from 1 species